rnacentral:rRNA from 1 species
CCUACGGGAGGCAGCAGUGAGGAAUAUUGGUCAAUGGACGAGAGUCUGAACCAGCCAAGUAGCGUGAAGGAUGACUGCCCUAUGGGUUGUAAACUUCUUUUAUAUGGGAAUAAAAUGUUCCACGUGUGGUAUUUUGUAUGUCCCAUAUGAAUAAGGAUCGGCUAACUCCGUGCCAGCAGCCGCGGUAAUACGGAGGAUCCGAGCGUUAUCCGGAUUUCUUGGGUUUAAAGGGAGCGUAGGCCGGCUUUUAAGCCAGCUGUGAAAGUCCGCGGCUAAACCGUGGAAUUGCAGUGGAAACUGGAGGCCUUGAGUGAAAACAGGGAUGCCGGAAUUCAUGGUGUAGCGGUGAAAUGCUUAGAUAUAAUGAAGAACUCCGAUCGCGAAGGCAAGUGUCCGGGGUGCAACUGACGCUGAGGCUCGAAAGUGCGGGUAUCAAACAGGAUUAGAUACCCGGGUAGUC